rnacentral:rRNA from 1 species
CGAGCGGUAGAGAGAAGCUUGCUUCUCUUGAGAGCGGCGGACGGGUGAGUAAAGCCUAGGAAUCUGCCUGGUAGUGGGGGAUAACGUUCGGAAACGGACGCUAAUACCGCAUACGUCCUACGGGAGAAAGCAGGGGACCUUCGGGCCUUGCGCUAUCAGAUGAGCCUAGGUCGGAUUAGCUAGUUGGUGAGGUAAUGGCUCACCAAGGCGACGAUCCGUAACUGGUCUGAGAGGAUGAUCAGUCACACUGGAACUGAGACACGGUCCAGACUCCUACGGGAGGCAGCAGUGGGGAAUAUUGGACAAUGGGCGAAAGCCUGAUCCAGCCAUGCCGCGUGUGUGAAGAAGGUCUUCGGAUUGUAAAGCACUUUAAGUUGGGAGGAAGGGCAGUUACUUAAUACGUGAUUGUUUUGACGUUACCGACAGAAUAAGCACCGGCUAACUCUGUGCCAGCAGCCGCGGUAAUACAGAGGGUGCAAGCGUUAAUCGGAAUUACUGGGCGUAAAGCGCGCGUAGGUGGUUUGUUAAGUUGGAUGUGAAAUCCCCGGGCUCAACCUGGGAACUGCAUUCAAAACUGACUGACUAGAGUGUGGUAGAGGGUGGUGGAAUUUCCUGUGUAGCGGUGAAAUGCGUAGAUAUAGGAAGGAACACCAGUGGCGAAGGCGACCACCUGGACCAACACUGACACUGAGGUGCGAAAGCGUGGGGAGCAAACAGGAUUAGAUACCCUGGUAGUCCACGCCGUAAACGAUGUCAACUAGCCGUUGGGAGCCUUGAGCUCUUAGUGGCGCAGCUAACGCAUUAAGUUGACCGCCUGGGGAGUACGGCCGCAAGGUUAAAACUCAAAUGAAUUGACGGGG